GCUGAGUGUGGUGGUGCAGGCCUGUAAUCCCAGCUCCUUGGGGAGGCUGAGGCAGGAGGAUCCAAGUUUGAGGCCAGCCACAAUAACUUUCAGACCCUGUCUCAA
rnacentral:sRNA from 1 species